AAAAUGACUUCAGUUCAAGGCAGAAGGAAAUCAAACUCUUGGAAAAUAUCAUCAGGUGACAAAACAGCUUGCUGGCAGUUGGAAAAGGGACAAGAAGGUCCAACCACUAGAUGGCCUUUCUCAUAACUGUAUAAGCACAGUCAAUUACCUAGAAGUUCAUAAGGAGAAGUCAGUGUCCUAUAGUCAUGCCCCAACGAGACCAAUAAAACUGUCUACUAGUCUGCCUUUCUUCUCUGGGUCAGGAAUUUGAUGAGGAGCUGGUGGAGGAGCAACAUCUGAGAGGCUCAUCUGUCUUCAGUGAUGGAGGAAGGACAUCAAAAAAACACAUGUAAAGACAAAACAAAACUCUGCUACAGUUACUUCUCACUGAAUGGAGUCUACUGACCUGAAGCAGAAGAUGUGCAGAACUAAAGUGAUGAGAAGUAACCUUUUAACCCCAUCAUGCUUCUCAGAUUAAUUAGGAAACAGAACUGUGUAAUCAUGACAGUGUAGAACUAGAAGGUGAGAAGAAGAUCGCUUUCAAGUUCUGGGUCACUGACACAAAUGGAAAGUAUUUAGCCUUUAGGUGUGAGUACUUAAAUGCUUCUGAAUCAGAAAUGGUGAAUGGGGCCCAUGCUGUGCUAAGGUCAAUCAGAUAAAACGCUGUAUGUAAAGAUAAAGAGUAUACGUAUAAGGGUUUGGUUAUUGGAUCAUCCACUCAAAAACAUAAGCCAAUGACUACAUGAGCCAAAGCCCCUUCGACAAUUAAUUGCAACUUGAAUGAAAACUCCGAGGAUGAAACUUGUCAUGGCUUCGGUCUCUGUUGAGAGGAGAUGCAUUGGCAAGAAAACAAUAAUUGGGGCCUCACCCGAACGAAUGCUCCUACCUUCCCCAUAAAUUUAUUUUGUGACACUAAAAAG